UGUGGCUGAUCUUGAAGAAAGAAGAAACCCUCGCGACACCUGGGGUUUGCUGCUCCUAACAGAAGGCGCGGGGGCGUGGUGACGAGCGGAGUCCUUUGAGGUCCUGCAGAGAGAGAAGACCACGAGAAGCAAAAAGCAGCAAGAUGACUGGAAAGAUUCAGGAAUUGGGAGCAGUGAAUAACUCAAAGUGCAGUGGAGGUUGGUGCUGAACAUCAGCAUUAGCUGACAAUUUGUAAAAGAAGCAGUUCCUGGCCAGGUGCCAUGGCUCACGCCUAUAAUCUCAGCACUUUGGGAGACCAAGGAGGGUGUAUCACGAGGUCAAGAGAUCGAGACCAUCCUGGCUAACACAGUGAAACCCUGUCUCUACGAAAAAGAACACAAAAAAUUAGCCAGGUGUGGUGGCACGGGCCUGUAGUCCCAGCUAUUCGGGAGGCUGAGGCAGGAGAAUCACUUUAACCUGAGAGGCGGAGGUUGCAGUGAGCCGAGAUCGAGUCACUGCACUCCAGCCUGGGUGACAGGGCUAGAGUCCGUCUCAUAAAUAAAAUGAAAUAAUAAAAAACAGAUGUUCAAACUCACUGGUAAUCAAUGAAAUGCAAGUUAAAACAAUGAGAUACCAUUUUAUACCUCGCAGAGGGACAAAAAUUAGAGUUAGAAAAUAGCAGGGUGAAAAUUGGAGAAAUGAUCAUCCUUUUGUCUCAUUAUGGGAGUGCAAACUGGUGCAGAUAUUUAAGAAACAAAUGUGGCUGAAUUGGGGAAGUCAAGGAUAUAAGACCCAGCAACCAGCAAUCUCAGCCUGGGUUGGGAGGUGAAUUCUGUACAUCUGAGAGUUCGCCCAUCCACAAGGGGUCGUGUACAAGGAUGUUCACUGCAGAUUUGUUGUAAAAAUGAGGAGGUGGUGUCCAUCACUAAUGGAAUAUUUGGGUGCAUCUCAUGUGCUGCUGCUCAGCGGUAGGACCCAGGAGCGAGGUGGACAGGCAGCGGCCGGAGGAGGUCAGAAAAACAGUGCUGGGGC
rnacentral:lncRNA from 10 species